CAAAAACACACAAAAAGAACAAAUUAGAUGGUAUUAAAUACUUCACGAAGAAAAAAAAGGCGACGGCGAUGGCGAUUUGUAACUAGGGUUUUGAUGUUCGAUCGAGAUGGGAAAUCAUGGGAUCCGGGGGCUAAGAGGAUAUCCAGGAUUCGAGGAGGAUCAUAUGGAGUUGGGAAAUCAUGGGGAUUGAGCGACGAUUCACGAAUCGAAAUCAAAAUAAAGAUUUCGAAGAGAUCUCAAUGGAAACGAUUUUGGAAGGGAGAUACGAUUGGGUUUUUUAGGAACUGGUUUUAUUUCAGAUUUUCGGAGUGGAUGCGGAAUCCAGAGGAUCGAACAAAAGAUCCCAGAGGUAUGAAUUUCGUUCUCAUCAUAACGAGAUCUCUGCCGCCUGUUAUAGAAAGUCGAAAUAUUAUUAUGCGAUAUGCUAAUGAUACAAUGGAUACUUGGCUUCUCGAUAGGAUCUCAUUUGGUGUUUUGGGAUGUCGGAACAGAUUCUCUAAUGAUUGUUCAAAGAUAUGUCGAAUCAAUUAUAGGGGAUUUGCUAAUAAUGUAUUAGGAUUAUGGAGUAAUGAGUUGAGCUCUGCGUGUCAGUAUAUAAGGAACUGGGAUUUAGUCUUCAGAAGCAUCAUAGUUUCUUCUAUAAUAGCAUACGAUCUAAACUGUUCUUUUUUCUUGUUCUUGGCUUUGGAAAGAGUGGUGAUGGGAAGGAUGGGGAGGGGAAUCGUAAGCGGUUGAAGAUCUCUAUUCCUCAUUUUGACAACUCUGAUCUGGUUAAGAGUUACUCGAAGACUCUGAUCGGGAGAUGUAUGAAUCCGGCGAAGCAUGUUACCAAAAAUUUGGAAGGUGGAAGAGAGAGUGGUGGGAGCGGAUCUGGGAAUGGGACGGUUCCAGUUUCAUUUUGAUAAAGAGGAAGACAUUGUGGCGGUAUUGGAGAUGCAGCCAUAUCAUUUCGAUUACUGGAUGAUAGCGCUCGCUAGGUGGCAACCAAAGAUGGUGAGAGACUUUCCUUCAGAGAUUCCUUUUUGGAUCAAGAUUGAGGGGGUUCCCACAGAGUUUUGGUCAACUCCAACGUUCCAGAGCAUUGGCGAUGCUAUUGGUGAGACUACAGAUGUGGAUCUUGAUUAUGGUAAGAUGCGGGUGAUCAUACAACAGUUGAUUUCAAAGGUGGAGAAUACUAUGAGGAAGAGGAGGCUCUUGUCACGUUGAAGUUUGAGAAGUUGUUUGGGCACUGCUCUCUCUGUCUCAGUCUUUGCCAUGACCUGGGGAGCUGCCCUUUGAAUCCAAACCCGGAGAAGAAGGAGGGCAGGGAGGGUGCUGCUGUCAGAAAGGAUGAUCGAGCAAGGAGUUAUAAGGGAGUCGUGAUCAAUGGAGAGGGGACUCAUCAAGAGAAUGACAAGGAUACAAGGAGAUACCAAGGUAAGGGAAAAGGAAAGAUGUAUGAGGAACAAGAAUCAAGGUGGGAACGGGUGCCGGAACGAGGAAGUAAAAGAUCAUUCUCAAACCGCAAUCACAACAAACUUGAGGAGGGAGGCUCCAGGAACCGCAACGCUCGGUGGGAACAAACAAGACGCCAUUUAGAGGAGGAGAGGAGUCGACCAUCUCGUGCAACGCGUGGAGAAAGAACCCCACCACGAGGUGAAAGAAGUACGGUGAGCAGGAACAGAGAGGAGCCACGUGAAGAAGGAGAAAUAAGGUUUGAUGGGAGUGAUAGGGGGAGGUUGCAGGACGUGGAAAAGAGCUUAAUUUUUCCACCAGGACCUGUACAGGAGACAUCUCCACUUCUCGGUGAUCCUGAUCAGGUAAAUUUAAUCACGGGAGAGUUAGAAAAUGGUUUGGAUCUGGUUAGCGAGUUUUUAGAAGAUGGAACUAAUAUGCUGGAUCAGGAUAAGAUUAUUGUGGAUUUAGCUUUGUCUGGAGAGGGGGGAAUGGAACUGGGUGAGAAUCAUCACACUAGGAAGGAGAUAGGUCCGGGUCUGGAGCUUGAUGAUGAGUUUCAGAAUCUUACAGAUGGAGAAGGAAAAGAUAUUGAUCAGGUAGACCAGGUGGAGGCAAAAGAAGUGGCCGACGAUGAUAUGGCUGGAGAUAUUGGAGAGGGUAAGGGGGCAACGGUGGUGGAGAAGAAGCCGGGGCUGCGUAAGCCUUUGUUCUCAGUUGCUGUUGGAAACAAUUCCAAGUUCGCUCAAGUCCUCCUGUCGCCUCGCAAGCGUGCUGCAGCUAAACAGAGUCUCCGUAAGGGAGGGGGCACUAAGCAGGUGGAAGAGAAGGGUUCCUCAUACCCGAAACAGCUACCUAAGCCUUAAAACGUUUUAUGGAUCAGCGAGUUUGGAAGAUAGCUAUGUUAUGGGGUUGUUUGGUUAUUUUUAUUUCUGUUUUUUGUUUUGUUUCAGUAAGCUCUACGAGCAGUUUAAGCUUUAUAUGGUUUGUUUGGGUUUCAAAAGGGUUUUUAUUAAGUUGUAGCUUGCUUGGUGACUGGAAUGAAUGGAAUAAAAUUAUAGGUUCUGGUUCUUGGAUUGGGUUGAGUUUGUUGGAGAGAAGUGUUCUGUGUUUAUUAUUUAUGCAGUUUGAUGAUCAUGGAAAUGAUCUGGAACUAUUAUCAGAGGAGUUGGUCUCUAUGUGGUCUGUUGGUGUUGGGUUGGAGUUUGCAACAGAAUGGACGUUUCUGGUUGGAUGGACUCGAGGCUUGUGGCUGGUCUCUUUAAACCAGCUGCAGUUUGUUUCUUUGGAAAGGUUAAGAAGUUUCAAUAUGGGAAAAUACGGUUCAGUUGCUUUAUACGUGUCCGGAGUUUACACAGAUUUAUUUCUGUUUUACGUGAAGAACAUGUAUUAUAUAGUUGCUUUUGCUAUUAUGGUUUUUCUUGGAUCCAAUUUACAGGAUAAGGUCGAACUGAAAAUAAUAUAUAUACUUGAAGAGGGGCAAGAUUAUAUUAUUAUUUUCAUAUUAAAGGUGUUCACUAUGACGGUUAUUUUUGGACGUUUGGUGGCUUAUUGUUUUUUUCUUGGAGGUUGGGACUUCAGAGUAUCAUCAAACUCAAAUUCGCUUGCUCUUGGGAGUAUUAUUUAUAUUGUUAAAUGAGAGUGCUUAGUUGGAAUUGUAGAGGUAUGGGAAGUAAGUGGACUAUGAGCUAUUUAAGGGAAAUAUGGUAUAAAUAUAAACCAGAUUUUUUGUUUUUAUCUGAAACAAAACAGGAAACGGAAUUUGUUCAAGCUUUUCAAGCACAUAUUAGAUUUGAUAACUUGUUCACGGUUGAUCCAGUGGGAAGGAGUGGUGGUUUAGCGCUUUUUUACAACAAUGAAUCUCAGGCACAAGUAUUAUAUUCUAGUAAUAGAAUGAUAGAUGUGGAAGCAGUGACUAAUGGAAAGACGGUCUAUCUUACGUUUGUGUAUGGUGAUCCUGUCCCAAAGUUAAGGGAACAAGUAUGGGAACGUUUGACAAGAUAUGGGCUCGCGCGUUCGGAACCCUGGUUCAUUAUUGGGGAUUUAAAUGAGAUUACGGGAAAUCAUGAAAAGGAUGGAGGAUCUCUGAGGAGUGCAGAUUCUUUUAUUCCUUUUAAUAAUAUGAUAAGGAAUACUGGCUUAUUGGAAUUUCCGGCUCGGAGAAAUAAAAUGUCUUGGCAAGGGAGAAGGGGGAAAGGAAAAGGGGCUUUUACGGUAAGAUGUCGUCUAGAUCGAGCUUUAGCGAAUGAAGAGUGGCAUACUCUGUUCCCAUGUUCUUAUACAUGCCUAAGAUAAAAUUUAAUAUAUCUCUAGCGAAAUCACUUCCUAUUUUUUGGACCAACAUUGUUUUCAUACAACUGAAUAUGAGGCUGCCACAUCAUAAUUUUGUUUUGAUAAAAGAUGGAUUGGAUAAGAAGGCUUUUUGGAAUCAAUUACAAUGGGCUGGUCAGAUUAUAGUGCAAGAAGGGAAACUGGGAUAGUGGAAAAAAUUUGUAAUUGUCGACAUGAAAUUGCUAAAUGGCGGAAAAAUAAUCCUCCUUAUGGGAAGGAUAAAAUUACUGAGUUACAGAAAGCUCUUGAAGAGGUACAAACAGAUAAUUCUAGGUCUCAGGAGGAUAUUAUCGAGGUCUCCAAGAAGUUGCAAGAUGCAUAUAAAGAUGAAGAAGAGUAUUGGCACCAGAAAAGUAGGAAUACGUGGUACACAUCUGGGGAUCUCAAUACAAAAUUCUAUCAUGCUCUGACUAAGCAACGACGGGUACGAAAUCGGAUACAAGAAGGUCUUUUGGAAUCAAUUACAACGGGCUGGUCAGUUUAUAGUGCAAGAGGGGCAAAUGGGAUCGUGGAAAAAAUUAGUAAUUGUAGACACGAAAUUGCUAAAUGGAGGAAAAAUAAUCCUCCAUAUGGGAAGGAUAAAAUUUCUGAGUUACAGAAAGCUCUCGAAGAGGUACAAACAGAUAAUUCUAGGUCUCAGGAAGAUAUUUUCGAGGUCUCAAAGAAGUUACAAGAUGCAUAUAAAGAUGAAGAAGAGUAUUGGCACCAGAAAAGUAGGAAUACGUGGUACACAUCUGGGGAUCUCAAUACAAAAUUCUAUCAUGCUCUGACUAAGCAACGACGGGUACGAAAUCGGAUAGUAGGUUUAUAUGAUGCUUUGGGAAAUUGGAUUACGGAAGAUAUGGGUGUGGAAAAAGUAGCAGUGGGCUAUUUCGAAGAGCUUUUUACUACUACUUCUCCAACGGAGUUUGAUGACUUUCUCACAGAGGUAUCACCGGGUAUUACUCCACAGAUGAACCAAUGUCUGCUGCGGGUAGCGUCAGAGAACGAGGUCAAAGAAGCCCUGUUUAUGAUGCAUCCAGAAAAGGCACCAGGACCGGAUGGGAUGACAGCUCUUUUCUUUCAACACUCCUGGCAUAUUAUUAAGAAGGAUUUGGUGGAUAUGGUGAAUAAUUUUUUGGUCACUGGAAAUUUGGAUCCGAAAUUAAAUAUUACUAAUAUUUGUAUGAUUCCAAAAACGAAGAGGCCUACAAGAAUGACCGAAUUGCGGCCGAUUAGUCUGUGUAAUGUUGGGUACAAGAUUAUUUCGAAGGUUCCGUGUCAGAGAUUGAAGAUAUGUUUACCUUCUCUCAUCUCAGAAACCCAGUCGGCUUUUGUGCCAGGAAGGUUAAUAUCUGAUAAUAUUCUUAUUGCUCAGGAAAUGUUUCAUGGAUUACGGACGAAUAGCAAUGCUUGGUAAACAGCUGUGGCGUCUGAUCGAGAAGCCAAAUACUUUAUUUUCCCGGGUUUUCAAGGGAUAAAGGCUCUCCUACAGAAGAUGGGAUUUGAUCUUCAUUGGAUUACAUUAAUGAUGGAAUGUAUAUCAUCGGUUCAAUAUCGGGUCCUCCUUAAUGGACAACCCCGGGGUCUUAUCGUCCCACAGAGGGGUUUACGAAAAGGAGAUCCUUUAUCACCUUAUUUAUUUAUUCUGUGUACUGAGGCUUUGAUUGCAAACAUUAAAAAGGCGGAAAGAGGAAAACUUUUAACGGGAAUGAAGGUAGCUCGAGCAUGUCCAUCGAUAUCUCAUUUGCUUUUUGCGGAUGAUAGUCUUUUUUCUGUAAAGCUAUAAAAGAGGAAUGCCAUACUAUCCUUAGGAUCUUAAAGGAAUAUGAGGUUGUAUCUGGUCAGCUUAUAAAUUUUGACAAGUCUUCUAUCCAGUUUGGGCACAAUAUUGAGGAAUCAGCUAGACAGGAGUUACGAGAUAUACUGGGAAUCCAGAAUCUUGGAGGUAUGGGAUCUUAUCUAGGCCUUCCAGAAAAUUUGGGAGGAUCCAAGAUCAAGUUUUUAGCUUUGUGCAGGAUCGGCUAAAUAAUAGAGUUAAUGGAUGGACUUUUAAGUUUUUCACAAAGGGUGGAAAGGAGGUGAUUAUUAAAUCUGUAGUGACGGCAUUACCAAACCAUGUGAUGUCCUGCUACCGGCUACCUAAGGCAACAACUAAAAAACUGACGACUGCGGUCGCACAAUUUUGGUGGAGUCCAGGGGGAAGGACAAGGGGUAUGCACUGGAAAUCAUGGGAUAAAGUGUGUCUUGAUAAGGAAGAUGGGGGGCUAGGUUUUAAGGAUAUUACGGAUUUUAAUACAGCAAUGCUUGGUAAACAGCUGUGGCGUCUGAUCGAGAAGCCAAAUACUUUAUUUUCCCGGGUUUUCAAGGGAUGGUAUUACAGGAAUGCAUCACCCCUGGAACCGAUUCGCUCAUAUUCUCCGUCAUAUGACUGGCGGAGUAUCGUUUCUGCUAGAUCUCUGGUAAGCAAAGGACUAAUCAAAAGAGUGGGAUCAGGAUCAUCUAUAUCUGUAUGGAAUGAUCCAUGGCUCCCAACCACUCGCCCGAGACCAGCAAAUAAAAAUCAAUAUAUUUUCGACCCAAAUCUUACAGUGGAUUCUCUUAUUGACUCUACUUCGCGGACAUGGAACUCGCAUGCACUCAGGACUAUGAUGGACCCCCAAGAUGUGAAAAUUAUAGAAAGUAUACCACUGAGUAAAUCUCAGAUGGUGGACAGGGAUGGAUGGCAUUUCACAAACAAUGGGAGGUAUACGGUUAAAUCAGGAUACCAGGUUGAACGGAUUUAUCCAGAUAGGGAGAGACCACCGUUACUGUUUGGACCCACAGUUGAUGCUUUGAAGGCUUUCUGCUGGAAAAUACGGUGCCCCCCCAAGUUAAAACAUUUUCUAUGGCAAUUGGUUACAUGUUGUAUAGCAGUCAAAAAGAAUCUGAAAGCGAGAGGAAUACAAGGAGACAUAUGUUGUGCCCGUUGCGGAGCGAAUGCCAUACUAUCCUUAGGAUCUUAAAGGAAUAUGAGGUUGUAUCUGGUCAGCUUAUAAAUUUUGACAAGUCUUCUAUCCAGUUUGGGCACAAUAUUGAGGAAUCAGCUAGACAGGAGUUACGAGAUAUACUGGGAAUCCAGAAUCUUGGAGGUAUGGGAUCUUAUCUAGGCCUUCCAGAAAAUUUGGGAGGAUCCAAGAUCAAGUUUUUAGCUUUGUGCAGGAUCGGCUAAAUAAUAGAGUUAAUGGAUGGACUUUUAAGUUUUUCACAAAGGGUGGAAAGGAGGUGAUUAUUAAAUCUGUAGUGACGGCAUUACCAAACCAUGUGAUGUCCUGCUACCGGCUACCUAAGGCAACAACUAAAAAACUGACGACUGCGGUCGCACAAUUUUGGUGGAGUCCAGGGGGAAGGACAAGGGGUAUGCACUGGAAAUCAUGGGAUAAAGUGUGUCUUGAUAAGGAAGAUGGGGGGCUAGGUUUUAAGGAUAUUACGGAUUUUAAUACAGCAAUGCUUGGUAAACAGCUGUGGCGUCUGAUCGAGAAGCCAAAUACUUUAUUUUCCCGGGUUUUCAAGGGAUGGUAUUACAGGAAUGCAUCACCCCUGGAACCGAUUCGCUCAUAUUCUCCGUCAUAUGACUGGCGGAGUAUCGUUUCUGCUAGAUCUCUGGUAAGCAAAGGACUAAUCAAAAGAGUGGGAUCAGGAUCAUCUAUAUCUGUAUGGAAUGAUCCAUGGCUCCCAACCACUCGCCCGAGACCAGCAAAUAAAAAUCAAUAUAUUUUCGACCCAAAUCUUACAGUGGAUUCUCUUAUUGACUCUACUUCGCGGACAUGGAACUCGCAUGCACUCAGGACUAUGAUGGACCCCCAAGAUGUGAAAAUUAUAGAAAGUAUACCACUGAGUAAAUCUCAGAUGGUGGACAGGGAUGGAUGGCAUUUCACAAACAAUGGGAGGUAUACGGUUAAAUCAGGAUACCAGGUUGAACGGAUUUAUCCAGAUAGGGAGAGACCACCGUUACUGUUUGGACCCACAGUUGAUGCUUUGAAGGCUUUCUGCUGGAAAAUACGGUGCCCCCCCAAGUUAAAACAUUUUCUAUGGCAAUUGGUUACAUGUUGUAUAGCAGUCAAAAAGAAUCUGAAAGCGAGAGGAAUACAAGGAGACAUAUGUUGUGCCCGUUGCGGAGCGAAUGAGGAAUCGAUCAACCAUGUGUUUUUUGAAUGUCCUCCAGCACUUCAGGUUUGGGCUCUCUCCAAUAUACCAUCGAAUCCAACUAUGUUCCCAACGACCUCUCUGUUUACAAAUAUGGAUCACCUCUUCUGGAGAGUCUUUCCACCGAUGGAGGAUCAUCAAUUUGCAUGGAUUCUUUGGUAUAUUUGGAAAGGAAGAAACAAUAAAGUUUUUAGCAAUUUGGACAUGGAACCAAUGGACACCCUCAAAUUGGAAGAAACAGAGUCAAGACUUUGGGCUGAUGCACAGGUAUUGACCGAGACCAGGAUAGCAUCCCAAGUUGAGGUCACGACUCCCCCAUCAAUUCCAGGGAGAUGGUGUUUUACAGAUGGAUCCUGGAAAGAGAAUGAUACUUUCUCUGGGCAAGGUUGGCUGAGUACUCUAGAAGGUUUUAAUGGGUUGUUAGGCGCAAGGAAUGUUCGAGCUUGUCUAUCCCCUUUACAUGCAGAGAUGGAAGCACUAAUUUGGGCAAUGGAAUGUAUGAAAAACUUACGGCAAUUUCAGGUUACAUUUGCAACGGAUUGUUCUCAGUUGGUGAAGAUGGUUUCGGAACCAGAAGAAUGGCCAGCAUUUGCAAGCUAUUUGGAAGAUAUUAAAUCCCUGAAAGAAGUUUUCACACGUUCGGAGAUUAUCUAUGUACCAAGAACGCAAAAUUCAAGAGCGGAUAGCCUAGCACGCAGUGUCAGGAAGCAACCGUCGUUUGUCGUUCACAUGGAUCAAGAUCUACCGGAGUGGUUCACAGAGUCAAUAUGAGUCUGUAUUUGAUGACAAAAAAAAUAAAAAAAUAAAAAAAAUAAAUACUUUAGUCAACAACUACAACUCAAACGAAAGCAUUGAUAGCUACAAUGGAAACUCUUCAGACACAGACCCUGACGUCUAUUUAAAAAACCUUAGCCUACAAUAUUUUUCAGGAGAACCACUCAGUAUGAUGAAUCAAUACAUUUAGUUAAUUAAUCAAUGUUGAGAUAAUGACAAUCCAGAAAGUCAUUACACCGAGGGGUUAAAUCAAUACUUCUUCCACCUCAAUCUCUCAAAAAACUCUACCAUCUUCACCAAUCCGGAAACUCUGAUAAUGAUACAUAUUCUUAUGAUAUAUUAAUGUUACGCAUAGACAAUUUUGAAGAGGAAAAAGAAUUUUUGAAUAAGCUAUCCUGAGAAAAUAAUCAAUUCAAAUCCGAUUAAUGUAAGAACAUGAUUAAGAAUUUAUUUACUCAAUUCAUGAUCUUUUUGAAGACAAAAUAUUUAACCAAUAACUGACAAAAUAAAACCCCCAACAAAUUGCCACAUCUUUGACAUAAACAAAGUAGGCGAAGACUGUUACAAUUUUAAGAGGAUGAAACAAUUUAUUAUGUUUUUGUAAACAAGAUAAUCACAAAAACAAACAUAAGCAUUUACAUUUUAAUAUCAACUUUAUUUUAUGUUUCAGUUUCAAAUGAAUUUACUUUGUUAUGACUAUCAAUUUUUUAUUCUACUUUUAUUGAAUCAAACAGUUACAAUCACUUAUACUUUUUUACAUUGAUCUAAACAACUUCAAAACAAAGUAAUACACUACUAUCCGCUAAUCACUAUCAAAUAGAUGAUAAAAAAAAUAUCAUUCUCUUUCAACAUAUAUUCAUCUUUAUAUUUUGAACAUAUUUUCUUUACUAAGACCAUAAAAUAAAUUGUAAUUUCAUUUAAGUAUAAAAUAGACGAACCCGGCGCUACGCGCCGGAAGACCACUAGUAUAUAUAUAUACUUAACUUAUUGAUUUUUGAAAAAUGUAUGCAUGCUUGGAAAUAGGUUUAUAACUUAUUAAAUAUGUGAAAACAUGUUAGUUGGCUAGGUUCUCUUUUGUAAAAUUUAGACUGUAAUACUUUUUUAGCGUUAAAAAGAAGACUGUAAUACCUUUCUAGGUUCUCUUUACUCAAAAGAAGUAUCCAAAUAUAUAACCAUAAAACUUCAUCCCUAAGUUCAUUGUUUAUUUUUAGUUUUCCCGUUCAAAUUCCCUAAAAUCUAAGAUUUUUUCAAUCAAUGUUAUUAUUUUGAUAGCUUACAUGCACUAAGAUGUGUUCAUUACAUCCUUUCACUGCAAUUCAUAGCAAAAAACUAUAAGGUCUCCAAAAAAUUAUAUAAUGCACGAGCAAUUUGUAAAACACAUGAGCUGUGAAAAUCUAAAACCAGAUUUUUGUAAGAACAAAAGAUAAACUCUCUAUUGUAUACUUUUAUUAUAUAAUGAUCAUUAUAAAACCACCUGGGAGCACUAAUAACACAAAAGAAAACCAAACAUCUUCCACCAAGAACUGAUUCCCCUGCUCCAUAUCCAAAUAUGGAUCCAAGUACUCUUACUGGCUACUGAUGUGGCGUAAGCACUGCAAAAGAAACACAAAUUCAAAACGAUUAGAGUUCACACUAACUGCAAAAUGAAUUAAAUUUUGAGAGAGACAAGUCUCCAGAUCCUAGCCACGACAAUGCAGAGAUGUAACAAAAGUUACAACUCAUAUAACAACAACCUAUCCCAUCUCAUGCAAAGAAACAAGAGAUGACAUGUUAGAACCGGCCAACUUUUAUUUGCUGUGGGAGUUUCAGUGAAAAAAUCUAUAUAAUUUCUUUGAUUUUUCAACAUUGAUCCUGGACUGACUUGCUUUAUUAGGCUGAUUGGUUGUCUUUACUAUUCGUACCCCACUCUUCCUCACCCUCACUUCUAUUAACAAGUACAGCACUACCAUCUGUAGAAUCUUCAUCAACAACUCCCUCUUCUUGAUUCACUUCUUCUUCAUUCUCUUCCUCUUCACCUCCUUCAUUCUCUGCAUCACCAUUUUCUUCUGCUACCUGCACAGUGUAAAAAAAAAAACAACUAAACGUCGAGUCCUGCGGAGAAUAAAACUGUUUGCUGCUUAGCAGAUGAUUCAAACGAACCAUUUUUAAAGUAAUAUAGCUCCCAAAAGAGCUUACCUCGUGAUCUCCGUCUCCAUUUUCAAGUGGUUCCUCUGCUUCAACUUGCAGGUUUCUGAAGGCUUCCACGAGGGUAAUGAAAGGUUGAUCGGCCUGGGUUGCAUAAUUUUCUGCAGCAGAAUAAACUCCCCUGUAGAUAAACAAGAGUAAAUUUAUUGGUUUGACCAAACCAAUGAUACUCUGGGUAUGAGCUAUUAACAUUAACAAUCUCAAUGUGUAAACAAAUGAAAAUAGUGAGUGGCUCCCUAUUCAGAAC
rnacentral:lncRNA from 1 species